rnacentral:lncRNA from 1 species
AUGGACAGUUAUGUGAUUAAAACAUGUUUAUUGAUUUCUGAAAAAAAAAAAAAAAAAAAUGGACUUAUUUCUCGAUAUUCAAAAUUUUCAACGAGAUCAUCUUCGUAAAACAACCACAUUGAUUACCAGAGAAGAUGGUAAAGUUUUGACAGAAAAGCAAAUUGGAGAUAAAUAUAGUUCGGAAGUAUGUGGAACCACUAGGGGUUAUGUCCUGGACACAAAACCUGAUCUUCAAGUUGCAGUCAUUCUAUCAGGAUUAAUCUUAGGUAAUAAUUCUAUGUAAUUAUUAAAGUUUGUAAAUUUUACAUUACCGCCAUACGAACGAAAGUAGGAUCAUCGAAAUAUGACGAGUAGAAAAAAUAUUCCAAAUUCAUUUCAUUUCCACAAGAUAGAAGUGCGAAAAAUGUUUGCACUUUAUCUGGUGGCAGGCUUCGAGAAAAUGAUCGACGAAAUUAAACAUAUACUAAAUAAAAACGUAUAAGUUACUUGCUGAUAGUGCAGUUUUUUAGGACUUUAAUAAACAUAUACUCCUAAUUAACCGAGGUAGUUUGGAAAUGAAUUACAUAAUCGAUUCUCCUGAUAAUCGCGAGACUCAAAAAAAUCAGAAUUAUUGACAAUAUGCUUUUAAUAAAAAAUAAAUAAAUUACAUACAAAGUCUUUAAUAAUUUAUCGAAAAAGGAAAUUGGUUUAUUUGCAGC